rnacentral:rRNA from 1 species
CCUACGGGAGUCAGCAGUGGGGAAUUUUGGACAAUGGGCGCAAGCCUGAUCCAGCCAUGCCGCGUGCGGGAAGAAGGCCUUCGGGUUGUAAACCGCUUUUGUCAGGGAAGAAAAGGUUCUGGCUAAUACCUGGGACUCAUGACGGUACCUGAAGAAUAAGCACCGGCUAACUACGUGCCAGCAGCCGCGGUAAUACGUAGGGUGCAAGCGUUAAUCGGAAUUACUGGGCGUAAAGCGUGCGCAGGCGGUUAUGCAAGACAGAGGUGAAAUCCCCGGGCUCAACCUGGGAACUGCCUUUGUGACUGCAUAGCUAGAGUACGGUAGAGGGGGAUGGAAUUCCGCGUGUAGCAGUGAAAUGCGUAGAUAUGCGGAGGAACACCGAUGGCGAAGGCAAUCCCCUGGACCUGUACUGACGCUCAUGCACGAAAGCGUGGGGAGCAAACAGGAUUAGAUACCCUGGUAGUCCACGCCCUAAACGAUGUCAACUGGUUGUUGGGAGGGUUUCUUCUCAGUAACGUAGCUAACGCGUGAAGUUGACCGCCUGGGGAGUACGGCCGCAAGGUUGAAACUUAAAUGAAUUGACGG